GGGCAUGAGCCGAUGGUAGAGUCUCCUUUUGCAAAAGCUUGUGAGCAGAAUAAAGGUGUUGGAUCCUACCUGGUCUCCCGUUUCGUGUGUAUUGGGCUUCCACCAGGUGCAACGAACCACUUGUGUAACAACAGUAUUAAAAACUGGAAGCAUGUUUGGAUAUCAGUAUCUAGAUCCCAAGGUACCAGAAAGAAGAAUUCACAAGCAAUCAAGCCAUCAAGGGCAACCGCAUGGAAAGAAGACUUAGACGUACCAGGACCAGCACAGAACCACCACAGAGGCCAAUGGCACCCAUUCCCACCCCAAGUUUGUGAAGCUCUUCAAUCUCCCGGUUGUGGCGCUCUGUUUUGUGGCGGACAAGAGACCGGUAGAAAUGGAUGGUGAAGACGACAAAGAUGAUCCCCACAGGGACCAUGAUCAUGGUGGAGAUGAAGGCCGCCAGCCAGCCUGUGUGCUGGCUGGUCUUCUGGACGACGGCCGUGCCGUUCCUCAAGACGGAGUCCACCGGCAGGAAUUUGAUCCAGCACAGAAGAACCACCUCGGCGAGGAAGAGGAGGAUGCCCAGGACGGUGGAGAAGCCCCACGCCAGCUCUAUCAACUAAUAUGUGUGAUAAAUCAUCAUCAUCAUCCGUUGGUCUAUCUAGCUCAGUAUCGCCUCCACAGACUGGCAGCAACUCUUCAGGGCUUCAGGCAGAAGCUUCUCCCACCCCUACCUGGAGAUGCUUGGGAUUGAACGAGAGACCUACUGUGUGCAAGGCAGAUGCUCUGCCACUGAGCUAUCACAUCAGCACAUCUCAAAUAACUCUCUCAUCCAUUUCCUAUCUGGUGCAGGCUCAGAAUUACGGCAGAGAUUUGCUCCUAGUCCAAACAAGGAGGCAAAUCUAUGUUCCAUGGCUGCUUCCAGAAAGGCUAGGUGGCUUUUUAAAGCUCCAGAGGGAAGACUUCACAUUCUCUAUUCCACAAAGAUAAAUCUGUAUGCUUUAGGUGCAUGAUACAGAAAUCCUGAGAACACCAGUUUUAAGAAAGCAAGAUUCUAGCCCUGUAAAGAAAAAGCUUGAAAACUCGCUGGCAUUGUCUGCUGGCAGCCACAAUAAAGU